AUUGAACGCUGGCGGCAUGCUUUACACAUGCAAGUCGAACGGCAGCGCGGGCUUCGGCCUGGCGGCGAGUGGCGAACGGGUGAGUAAUGCAUCGGAACGUGCCCAGUAGUGGGGGAUAGCCCGGCGAAAGCCGGAUUAAUACCGCAUACGACCUGAGGGUGAAAGCGGGGGACCGAAAGGCCUCGCGCUAUUGGAGCGGCCGAUGUCGGAUUAGCUAGUUGGUGGGGUAAAGGCUUACCAAGGCGACGAUCCGUAGCUGGUCUGAGAGGACGACCAGCCACACUGGGACUGAGACACGGCCCAGACUCCUACGGGAGGCAGCAGUGGGGAAUUUUGGACAAUGGGGGCAACCCUGAUCCAGCCAUGCCGCGUGCGGGAAGAAGGCCUUCGGGUUGUAAACCGCUUUUGUUCGGGAAGAAAUCCUCUGGGCUAAUACCCCGGGGGAUGACGGCACCGGAAGAAUAAGCACCGGCUAACUACGUG
rnacentral:rRNA from 1 species